rnacentral:rRNA from 1 species
GACAGGUCAGUAUGCCCCGAAUGUCUUGGGCUACACGCGCGCUACAAAGGGCAGGACAAUGGGAUGCUAGGCCGAGAGGCAUUCAAGCUAACCCGAAACCUGUUCAUAGUUCGGAUUGAGGGCUGUAACUCGCCCUCAUGAAGCUGGAUUCCGUAGUAAUCGUGUUUCAAUAUAGCACGGUGAAUAUGCCCCUGCUCCUU